UACGUAGGGGGCAAGCGUUGUCCGGAUUUACUGGGCGUAAAGCGCGCGUAGGCGGAACGAUCAGUCCGGUCUGAAAGCCCCCGGCUCAACCGGGGAGGGUGGCUGGAAACUGUCGUUCUUGAGGGCGAGAGAGGAGGGUGGAAUUCCUGGUGUAGCGGUGAAAUGCGUAGAGAUCAGGAGGAACACCCGUGGCGAAGGCGGUUCUCUGGGCCUUACCUGACGCUGAGGAGCGAAAGCGUGGGGAGCGAACAGG
rnacentral:rRNA from 1 species